CUCCGGUACUCCUGCGGAUCUAGGGCUGCUGGUUCCCAGUCAUCGGUAUUUCGUUCCAACCAGGAGAUGAGAGCUGGUUUGGGACCUGCGCAUCCUGGGGAAGGAGAACCAGUCAGAGAGCUGGCCCGAAGAAAGGAUGCUAAAAAAUAAACGCCAACCCCUAACAAGCCGAUCGCAGGUCAGGACCCUAGGCUCCCUGCCCCCACUCUACCCCGCCCUCAAGCUCCAUCAUCCCUUAGGCCCCGCGUAAGCAGAUUGGGCCGGGCCUCACCGAGCGCGCCCAGGAGGCCGUAGGUCUCGCGCAUCACAUCCCGGUACAGAGUCCUCUGAGCGGGCUGCAGACACCCCCACUCCUCCGAGGAGAAGUACACGGCCACGUCCACGAACUUCAAGGCCCUUGGCCUCCUGCCCCUUUUCCGAGUAGGUCCAGCCUCUCCGACUGCCCGCAGGAGAAGCGGAGCCGAAGGUGGCGCCAUCGGACCUGCUCCCCGGCCUUGCCACGGGGACCCGGAGACCUAGAAGCUCCGUCGGGAAGGCCCGGAGGAAAUCUGAAUCGGCUGCCUGAGGGGCCGGGCGGCCCGACACAGACCGUUAUUCAGGGAACUCCCGCUGGAACUUGGGUGAGAGGCACCGGAAGAUGCCUUCGGGGAAGAUGGCGGCGCUGCUCCUGCACCACCGCUGCCUAGAACACAGGCAGGUUCCAGCUAUCGAUUUUAUUGACCCGAACGCCAUGCCGACUUCUUAACCUCCUUGCCCUAAAGUGUAAUGGCGCUGCGAGAUGGCUUCUUGCCUACUUUCCUCCUAUCUAUUGCAUUCGUUUAUUGGUUGGUAGCUGAAGAUCGGGCGUUCUGAUUGGUCAUCAAUGAAGGCGGCCCAUUUGAAUGAAGCCAACGGAUUCUUAAGGGCAAGAAGGUGGAUCCUGUGUCUCUAAGCCGGUUGUGAGAAGUCUUAUGAAUGGGAGGCUUUUCUUGUGUUCUCCAACGCUUGUUUGCCCUACUUGGAGAAGACGUUUCUACAGGUCUUCCAAAGGGAAAGUCACACAGUGACAACAUGGAUUUUUGAACAGCUACAUCCUACGAUCAUAAAGGUGUCACAGCCAGGAAUUCUGAAAAGUACUAGAUGAGAAGGGAGCGGUGGUAAGGAUCUGGUGCACAAAAGGCGCGUCUGGUAAAAUUGAAUGACUAGAAUGCUCUCCUUCCAGGUACCCACUUCUCCGUAGCUUCUGGCGGCUACAGGUGGAACCCGAACAUGGGGACUGGAUAUGCAGAGAUCAUCUGAGGGAUACUGUCUUGGUGGAGCUCCACAGAAAACGGAGGAAGACGGUAUCCUGCACAGUAAGCGACAUACAGCACUGAUGCUGGUGCUCCCCUUACUUUUCAUCUUGUUGAAACUGUUGCCGUAGGUGCAAAGGGAUGCGGGCUAAGUUGGGGCAGUGCCAACCCAACACUGAUUCCACUUAGGGAUUGACAGUGGAAGAUGGGACUGGAAAAUUCUAAACAGGCAUUUGUCUACAGCCUUCAAGAGCUGCUUCAGGCGAGAGGGGUAGGGUUUGAAGAACAAUUGUUAGAAAACGUUUCAGAUCAGAUCAAUUCUUGCUGACCGUGGAUUCAAGAUGAAAACUUUAGAUAAGAGAACCAUGGGGAAAAAAUUGGAGAAGCUCUGAGAACCACCCAGGCAGAUAAUAUCACCCUCUGCCUCUGGGUGCUCAUGAAAGAUGCUAUUGAUGAGGAGACCUUGCAGGCGUCAGACAGUGCCCAGGGAGGGCUUGAAGAAUCUCAGGAAGAACGCCUGCCAGAGAGAGCUUUCUCAGAAAAGGGCCCUCUCCACUCUAAAUUAGAAAGGUAGAGAGAUACUAAAGAUGAGCUAACAUCAAAGGAGGAAGCUCAUUCAGAACAAGGAGCCGCCAAAUAUUAUGAUGAGGAUCGGCCUCCACUUAUGGCCUCUACUGCAGGAGAUGCUGCCCAGAUGGACAUGCAACUAAGUAAAUUAGAGUUUGAAAUUAAACUGCAGAAAUUGACUAAUGAGCUACAGGAGCUAAAAAAAGGGUGCCAAGUACAGGGAAGAGCAAUGAUUCUGAGAUACACCAAUUGCUGCUAGAAAGAGCUGUGAGUCAGGCUCUUGGGAAAAGGCAGGACCUAUUUGACAUGCCAGCUUUCCCUAUAGUUGAGAUAAUUGACCAGCAGAACAAUAGAGUCAAACAAUACCAGACUUUGGAGUUCAUGGUGAUAAGAGUUAAAAACAGCUGUUGCACAGUAUGGCCCUACAGCUCCUUUUACACAAGUUUUAUUGGACACUGGAGUCAAAUUUAACCCCCCUGGAUUGGAAGACUGUAUAAGUCUACUUUGUCAGGAGGAGAUUUCUUACUUUGGAGUUCUGAAUGGCAUGAAGCUAGUAAGAGAACUGCUAUAGAUUCAUCAUAGAUUCUAUGAUGAAUGCUCAGACAGGAAACCCAGAUUGGGAUGCUGACACGCUUUUAGAAGGUCAAUAUGAAAGCAAUGCUAAUCAGAUUGGGUUUCCUGUUGGAGUGUAUGCUUAGGUUGCAAAGGCUGACAGCUGUGCUUGGAAUCAGUUAAAGGAGAUCUCAGUGGAACUUUAGCUAGUAUUAGACAGGCUCCUGAUGAACCUUUUCCUGCAGGAUUUUGUGAAUAGGCUACUAAAAGCAGCUAGUAGAAUUUUUGGAGAUUCUCAAGCAGGAAUUCCUUUUGUUACACAAUUGGCUUAUGAGAAUACUAAUGCAGGGUAUCAUGACACUGUUCACCCAUACAAAGCACAGACAAACUUAGCUGGGUAUAUUCAUCUUUGUGCAGAGAUUGGGCCUUCAUAUAAUCAAGGCUUGGCUGUGGCCACUGCUUUGCACUGUGCAAGCAAUGCUUUCACAGAAACAAGGGAAUAAAGUAUGCUUUAGAUGUGGAAGUUUGAAUCAAUUUAAAAAUAAUUGAACUAGCUGGGCAGUGGUGGCGCACGCCUUUAAUCACAGCAAUUGGGAGCUAGAGGCAGGCGGAUUUCUGAGUUUGAGGCCAGCCUACAGAGUGAGCACCAGGACAGCCAGGGCUAUUCAGAGAAACCCUGUCUUCAAAAACCAAAAGCCAAAAAAAAAAAAAAAAAAAGAAAAAAGAAAAAAGAUUGUACUAGGAACAGAGGCACCACGAGCAAGCAAUCAGGCUACAACGGCCUGGGAGUUUGUCUUCCAUGCAAGAUGGGUAACCACUGGGCCAGAGAAUGUAAAUCUAGGACAGAUAUUCAGGGCUGUCCCAUGCCGUCCCAGCUUAUGGGGCCAUGAAGCUGCUGCCAGGCCAGGGAAAUCCAUUUUUUAACUUAUCAGGGCAACCCCAGGAAGUGUAGGAUUGGACCUCUGUUCUACCAUCCACACAGUAAUCCCCAGAAAUGCAAGUUCAAACCCUGCCUACAGGAGUUUUUGGUCCUUAACCUGCAGAAACUUGGGGUUUCUUCUAGGACAAAGCAGUACUAUUGUAAAAGGACACAGAUUUAUCCAGGUAUUAUAAUGAUUAUGAGGGAGAAAUUAAAAUUAUGGCUGCUUCCCCUCAUGGUAUUAUAACUGUAUCUUCUAACCAAAGAAUUGCUCAACUUAUUUUAGUUCCCUUGAAUCUGCUACCUUCCAGAUUUGUUAAGAGUAGAGAGGACAGAGUGGCUUUGGUUUCUCUGAUGUGUAUUGGGUUCAAUCUUUUACUAGUAAGAGACCUAAGCCUUAAAUUAAUCAUUGAAGGAAAAAGCUUUGAAGUAUUAAUACUGGGGCUGAUGUAACAAUUAUUAGAGGACAAGAUUGGCCUUCAACUUGGACUUUAUCUGAUAUGCUCACUCACCUCCAAGGGAUUGGUUAUGCUAAUAACCCAAAACAAAACUCUAAACUUCUAAUCUGGAGAGGUGAGGAGGGCAAUUCAGGACAAAUUUAGCCUUGUGUCAUGUCAAAUUUGCCUAUUACCCUCUGGGGAAAAGAUCUCUUGUCACAGAUGGGUCUUAUAAUGUGUAGUCCUAAUGAGGCAGUGACUAAGCAGAUGCUAGGACAAGGAUUUUUGCCUGGUCAGGGGCUAGGAAAGGAAGGACAAGGCAUUAAGACAUUUAAAGGUCCUAAGCCUCACUCUAACACUAGAGGCGUACGGUGUUUUCCAUAAUGGCUACUAUCUUGCCUGCAUCUCAUGCUGAUAAAAUUCAAUGGCUUAAUAAUAUUCCGGUGUGGGUUGAUCAGUGGUCUUUAUCUAAAGAAAAAAUAGAAGCCACAUCUUUGAUAGUGUGGGAGCAACUAGAGGCAGGGCAUCUAAGAGAAUCUCAGUCACCAUGGAAUACUCCAAAAUUUGUUAUCCAGAAAAAAUCUGGUACAUGGAGAUUGUUACAAGAUCUAAGAAAGGUUAAUGAAACCAUGGUACCUAUGGGAGCUUUACAACCUGGGCUUCCAUCUCCAGCGGCUAUUCCUAAAGGAUAUUAUAAAAUUGUGGGUGUUUUUAAAGGUUGUUUCUUUACUAUUCCUUUGCACCCUGAGGAUUGUGAAAGAUUUGCUUUCAGUGUUCCUUCUAUUAAUUUUAACGAACCUAUGAAAAGAUAUCAAUGGACAGUUUUCUCAUAGUCCUACCUUAUGUCAAAAGUUUGUGGCACAAGCCUUUCAGCCUGUAAGACAGCAAUGGCCAAUGAUCUACAUCAUUCAUUACACAGAUGAUGUCUUAAUGGCGGGAAAAGAUCCUCAGGACUUGCCUUUUUUUUGUUGGUUGUUUUUGUUUUUUGUUUUUUCUGGUUUUUCGAGACAGGGUUUCUCUUUGUAGCCCUGGCUCUCCUGAAACUCACUCUGU
rnacentral:lncRNA from 1 species